GGACCUUUAAUAGUUUGCUUUCAUAAUUUUUAAACGUAUGUGUCAAAUCUAGGCGAAAUGUAUUUUCUGCUUUUGAAGUUAAAAAUAAAGGAUCAAAGCCGUGAGGUGUUGCUUUAUUAUAUUUUUUAGGUGCAACGGUUGAAGUAUGCCUUCUUUUUACUAAUGUUGAACCAACCAGAUCAAUUUCAAAAGCCCAACAUCCGUUUAGUUACGAUGGUCUGUCUAGAAAUGGGAACCAUAAGUGAAAUUCCUGCAGAACAUUAUUUCAUGUUUAGUCGGGCCACAUGAUCAUUUUCAGCCUCCACUUUGCUACACUUCGCCUUUUUUGGGCUUAUCUCGAAGAAUCAGUUUGCUUUGCAUUAGAAAUAUACAUUGUACAUACUUCGGAGUCCCUUCCGCCGACACACAGAAAUCAAAUUGUUGCCUCAAUGGUUUUGUCAACCCAAUGCUGAUGAUUCCACUUACCAUCAAAGGUUUAGCUUUACUUUCUUUGUGACAACCAACAUUGACCUUGAGGCGGGGCAGUGAAAUCCCAUUUGAACGUGAUUGCGACUAAAAAUAUAAAACUAAACUGUUAAUCAAAAAUGCAAUUCAUAUUAUUAAGGCGGAUGAAAAGACUUAAAACUUUCGAAUCAGAUAGAAAAUACCUUUGAUAUAAGUCAAGCAAUCCAAUUUGAGCCAAAUGGCUAACAAACAGUAUUUCAUUUACACUCAAGAAAAGUGAACCGAGAGAUGAUACAAAACAAACUGUUUUUAGUAAAGUUGACUUGCAUGUAGCGCUAAAGACAUUUUUUUCUGUUUUUGUCAAUAUAGAUCUAAAAAGCAAUGAUGUCAUAUGAACUUCCUUAUGGUUAAAUGUGAACUAAAUUAUUUGUUUUAGUACAUCGUGUAUUAUAAUUUGAACUGAACUCAAAAUAAUCGAUGGAAUAAAAUGUUAGCAAUUUUUACUCUGUGUUAA